GUUGGGAAAAGGAAGAGUUCAUCGCUGAAACUUCUCUAAGCAUAUACCACUUCAGACAGCACUGGAUAUGAAGCAAUUCUAACAACAAAAAGAAAGCUUAACUUGGGAAUGUAUGUUGGCAAUACCACUCCUGUUAACCAAGGAAAAUCCUUCAUGAUACACAAAAUGAAACCCAUUAUAUCUCUUUCAUGAACAUGGCUUAAAGACAGAGAACAAAGACUGGCACAAGAGGUACAAACAGGAGAGCUGGAGAAAAGUGAGAAGAGAUGGCAUCGAGGGAAAAAAAUGUUUCUUUAAAAGG